rnacentral:lncRNA from 1 species
AUGUGCCGAGGCUGUAGGGGUGGGUGGGAUCGCGGGAGCUCUGCGAAGCGCGGUGCCUGUCAGGGACGUUUCUGGAGAAGGGAGGCAAACCCCCAGCAGGUGGUUUUGCUUGGCGCUGCGCUGAUGUCUUCUGACGAAUCUGUGAUGCUUUUAGGAAGCCUCGGCCUCCUUCCUGCCUUAGGAGAGCUGCGGUGCUUCAAAUCUCACAGCCCUGCGAGUGCAGGCAGCGAGCAGGCAGGGCCUGCGGGAGCGGCUUUGCUGCCCUGUCCCCCCCCGUGCCUUACCUCCCUCUGGCUGCGGCGCAGCCCGCCUGCGGGGCACCCACCCGGCCUUCCCACCCGCCGUGCAGGACCUGGCCACGAGGAGCUCCGGCAGCGGCGGCAGGUUGCUCGACGGGCGGCCUCGGGGCUGGGGAAGGGCUGCUUCUCACCCAGCGCCCGGGCGCUUGCCCUGCGGCAGCCGCCAGCCCUUCGCUUUGGACCGGGGGGCUGCGUCCGUGAGCUGCGUGGGGCAGGCACUGGGUUUUGCCCUGCUCCUGCUCGGUGCCGGGGCACAGCUCUGGUGUGGGUGGCGGUGCCGGCAGUGGCCGUGCGCAGGCUGCAGGCACUGCUGGCGCGGCACGCUGAGGACGCCCCGAGCCCAUCGCCGUGGUUCGGUUCGUCUGCACGCGUAAAUGGCAGCCGAGGUCAGGCUCAGAGCCCUGAGGCUCCAGGUGGGGUGGUUUGUCCUGCAGGGCAGCCACGGCGAGCACGGGGCAGCCAUCUCACAAGGGCCCCUUUCCAUUUCCAUCCAUCCGCGGUGCCACGAGACGAGCUCCUCCUGGGCCGUGGCUUGGGAGGAAAUUGUUGCCCGGGCUCUGGGCGCUGCACGAGCCACCAGGCAGCACUGGGGCGCUGUGCCCAUCCCAGGGGGGCUGCGCACCCGCACGGGGCUGGGGUCGGGGCCAGGCUGCAGCCGAUGCCCCCUGCCCGCGCCUUCCUCCUUCGGUGCCUUCGGGGCUGGGGAUGGCUGGUGUUGCUUCAUAGGGAAAUAAAAUAUUUUGAUUUUGUUUCUUAA